rnacentral:rRNA from 1 species
CACACUAUCAUUAACUGAAUCCAUAGGUUAAUGAGGCGAACCGGGGGAACUGAAACAUCUAAGUACCCCGAGGAAAAGAAAUCAACCGAGAUUCCCCCAGUAGCGGCGAGCGAACGGGGAGGAGCCCAGAGCCUGAAUCAGUGUGUGUGUUAGUGGAAGCGUCUGGAAAGGCGCGCGAUACAGGGUGACAGCCCCGUACACAAAAAUGCACAUGCUGUGAGCUCGAUGAGUAGGGCGGGACACGUGGUAUCCUGUCUGAAUAUGGGGGGACCAUCCUCCAAGGCUAAAUACUCCUGACUGACCGAUAGUGAACCAGUACCGUGAGGGAAAGGCGAAAAGAACCCCGGCGAGGGGAGUGAAAAAGAACCUGAAACCGUGUACGUACAAGCAGUGGGAGC